UACGAAGGGGGCUAGCGUUGUUCGGAAUCACUGGGCGUAAAGGGCGCGUAGGCGGCUGUUCAAGUCGGGGGUGAGAGCCUGUGGCUCAACCACAGAAUGGCCUUCGAUACUGGACGGCUCGAGACCGGAAGAGGUCAGUGGAACUGCGAGUGUAGAGGUGAAAUUCGUAGAUAUUCGCAAGAACACCAGUGGCGAAGGCGGCUGACUGGUCCGGUUCUGACGCUGAGGCGCGAAAGCGUGGGGAGCAAACAGG
rnacentral:rRNA from 1 species